rnacentral:rRNA from 1 species
UUACCUACUCUUGACAUCCAGAGAACAUUCCAGAGAUGGAUUGGUGCCUUCGGGAACUCUGAGACAGGUGCUGCAUGGCUGUCGUCAGCUCGUGUUGUGAAAUGUUGGGUUAAGUNNCGCANNGAGCGCAACNCUUAUCCUUUGUUGCCAGCGAUUAGGUCGGGAACUCAAAGGAGACUGCCGGUGAUAAACCGGAGGAAGGUGGGGAUGANGUCAAGUCAUCAUGGCCCUUACGAGUAGGGCUACACACGUGCUACAAUGGCGUAUACAGAGGGAAGCGAGAGUGCGAGCUGGAGCGAAUCUCACAAAGUACGNNUAAGUCCGGAUUGGAGUCUGCAACUCGACUCCAUGAAGUCGGAAUCGCUAGUAAUCGCAAAUCAGAAUG